rnacentral:rRNA from 1 species
AGGACAUGUGGACAGUAUGGGAGUGAGAAUGUUGGCAUGAGUAGCGAGAUGUGGGUGAGAAUCCCACAGGCCGUAAACCCAAGGUUUCCAGGGGAAGGUUCGUCCGCCCUGGGUUAGUCGGGACCUAAGCUGAGGCCGAAAGGCGUAGGUGAUGGACAACAGGUUGAUAUUCCUGUACUACCGAUAACCGUUUGAGAGAAGGGAUGACACAGUAGGAUAAGCUAAGCACACUGUUGGUUAUGUGUGCCCAAGCAUUGAGGCAGUCAAAGUAGGCAAAUCCGCUUUGAUAAUGCUGGGAUGUGAUGGGGAGCGAAAUUUAGUAGCGAAGUAGCUGAUUUCACACUGUCAAGAAAAGUCUCUAUCGAGGUUAAAGGUACCCGUACCGCAAACCGACACAGGUGGGUGAGGAGAGUAUCCUAAGGCCAGCGAGAGAACUGUUGUUAAGGAACUCGGCAAAAUGACCCCGUAACUUAGGGAUAAGGGGUGCCACCAUCAGGUGGCCGCAGAGAAUAGGCCCAAGCGACUGUUUACCAAAAACAUAGGUUUCUGCUAAGUCGCAAGACGAUGUAUAGGAGCUGACGCCUGCCCGGUGCUGGAAGGUUAAGGGGAUCUGUUAGAGCAAUCGAAGCAGUGAACUUAAGCCCCAGUAAACGGCGGCCGUAACUAUAACGGUCCUAAGGUAGCGAAAUUCCUUGUCGGGUAAGUUCCGACCCGCACGAAAGGCGUAACGAUUUGGGCACUGUCUCAACAACAGACUCGGUGAAAUUGUAAUUCCGGUGAAGAUGCCGGAUACCUGCGACAGGACGGAAAGACCCCAUGGAGCUUUACUGUAGCUUGACAUUGGGUCUUGGUACUACAUGUACAGGAUAGGUGGGAGGCUUUGAAACCAGGACGCCAGUUUUGGCGGAGCCAUCCUUGGGAUACCACCCUUGUAGUACUGGGACUCUAACCAUAGGCCAUGAAUCUGGUCUUGGGACACUGUCAGGUGGGCAGUUUGACUGGGGCGGUCGCCUCCCAAAAGGUAGCGGAGGCGCUCAAAGGUUCUCUCAGUACGGUCGGAAAUCGUACGUAGAGUGUAAAGGCAAAAGAGAGCUUGAUUGCAAGACAUACAGGUCGAGCAAGGAUGAAAAUCGGACUUAGUGAUCCGGUGGUUCUGCGUGGAAGGGCCAUCGCUCAACGGAUAAAAGCUACCCUGGGGAUAACAGGCUUAUCUCCCCCAAGAGUCCACAUCGACGGGGAGGUUUGGCACCUCGAUGUCGGCUCAUCACAUCCUGGGGCUGUAGUAGGUCCCAAGGGUUGGGCUGUUCGCCCAUUAAAGUGGUACGCGAGCUGGGGUUCAGAACGUCGUGAGACAGUUCGGUCCCUAUCCGUCGCAGGCGUAGGAAAUUUGAGAAGACCUGUCCUUAGUACGAGAGGACCGGGAUGGACGUACCUCUGGUGUACCAGUUGUCCUGCCAAGGGCAUGGCUGGGUAGCUAUGUACGGAAUGGAUAAGCGCUGAAAGCAUCUAAGCGCGAAGCCAACUUCAAGAUAAGAUUUCCCACCGCAAGGGUAAGACCCCAGAAAGACUAUCUGGUUGAUAGGUCGAAGGUGUAAGUGCAGCAAUGUAUUUAGCUUAUCGAUACUAAUAGGUCGAGGACUUGACCA